GAGCAACGCUGCCCCAGGCUUUGGGAUAGCCCCGGGAAACCGGGGCUAAUACCGAAUAUGACCUUUGGACGCAUGUCUUUUGGUGGAAAGUUUUUCAGCUUGGGAUGGGCUCGCGGCCUAUCAGCUUGUUGGUGGGGUGAUGGCCUACCAAGGCGACGACCGGUAGCCGGCCUGACAGGGCGACACGGCCACACUGGGACUGACACACGGCCCAUACUCCUACGGGAGGCAUCAGUGGGGAAUAUUGCACUAUGGGCGCGAAGCCUGAUCAGCAACGCCGCAUGAGGGAUGACGGCCUUCGGAUUGUAAGACCUCUUUCAGCAGGGACCAAUCGUAAGUGACAGGUACCUGCAGAAGAAACGCCCGCCAACUACGUGCCAACAUCCGCGGUAAGACGUAGGGCGCGAGCGUUGUCCGGAUUUAUUGGGCGUAAAGAGCUCGUAGACGGCUUGUCAUCGUCGACCGUGAAAACGUUGGGGCUCAACCCCAAGCCUGCGGAUCGAUACGGGCACGCUAUCAGUUCGGUAGGGGAGACUGGAAUUCCUGGUGUAGCGGUGAAAUGCGCAGAUAUCAGGAGGAACACCGGUGGCGAAGACGGGUCUCUGGGCUGAUACUGACGCUGAGGAGCGAAAGAGUGGGGAGCGAACAGGAUUAGAUACCCCGGUAGUCCACGCUGUAAACGUUGGGCGCUAGGUGUGGGGGGCCUCUCCGGUUCGCUGUGCCGCAGCUAAAGCAUUAAGCGCCCCGCCUGGGGAGUACGGCCGCAAGGCUAAAACUCAAAAGAAUUGACGGGGGCCCACACAAGCGGCGGAGCAUGCGGAUUAGAUGCAACGCGAAGAACCUUACCCGGGUUUGACAUGGCCGCAAAACCUGCAGAGAUGUGGGGUCCUUCGGGGGCGGUCACAGGUGGAGCAUGGCUGUCGUCAGCUUGAGUCGUGAGAUGUAGGGUUAAGUCCCGCAACGAGCGCAACCCUCGUCCGAUGUUGCCAGCGCGUUAUGGGCGGGGAGUCAUUGAAGGCUGCCGGGGUCAACUAGGAGGAAGGAGGGGAGGAAGUCAAGUCAUCAUUCACCUCAUGUCCAGGGCUUCACGCACGCUACAAUGACCGGUACAAUGGGUAGCGAUACAGUGAGGUGGAGCGAAUCCCAAAAAGCCGGUCUCAGUUAGUAUCGGGGUCAGCAACUAGACCCCGUGAAGUAGGAGUCGAUAGUAAUCGCAGAUCAGCAACGAUGCGGCGAAUAAGUUCCCGGGCGUCGUACA
rnacentral:rRNA from 1 species